ensembl:snoRNA
UGGUGGUGAUGUCUGAACUCACGAUGGUCUUCAGAGUCCCUAUCAGCGAAGGGGAUGCUGACAAUGCCAGUGGCAACUGCUGAAACAGCAGA